UUAAUUGAGAGUUUGAUCCUGGCUCAGGACGAACGCUGGCGGCGCGCCUAACACAUGCAAGUCGAGCGAUGAAAAUUCGACAGAUUCCUUCGGGAUGAAGAUGAAUUGGAUUAGCGGCGGACGGGUGAGUAACACGUGAGUAACCUACCUUUGACAUGGGGAUAGCCUCGGGAAACUGGGAUUAAUACCCAAUGAAAUUAAU
rfam:Anaerosphaera aminiphila DSM 21120 genome assembly, contig: EJ13DRAFT_scaffold00008.8